AUUGAACGCUGGCGGCAGGCUUAACACAUGCAAGUCGAGCGAGCGGCGGACGGGUGAGUAAUGUCUGGGAAACUGCCUGAUGGAGGGGGAUAACUACUGGAAACGGUCGCUAAUACCGCAUACCAUCAGAUGUGCCCAGAUGGGAUUAGCUAGUAGGUGGGGUAAUGGCUCACCUAGGCGAAGAUCCCUAGCUGGUCUGAGAGGAGGACCAGCCACACUGGAAUGGAGAAAAGGUCCAGCUUCCGACGGGAGGCAUCAGUGGGGAAUAUUGCACAAUGGGCGCAAGCCUGAUGCAGCCAGGCCGCGUGUGUGAAGAAGGCCUUCGGGUUGUAAAGCACUUUCAGCGAGGAGGCGUUACUCGCAGAAGAAGCACCGGCUAACUCUGUGCCAGCCGCCGCGGUAAUUC
rnacentral:rRNA from 1 species